AUAAUUUUAAGUUAAUUAAACUAUUAACCUUCAAAGUUAAAAAUAUAAUUUUUAUAAAUUAUA
rnacentral:tRNA from 1 species